AAAAUGGCCCUUUUCAGGGCCCACAAAAUGAAUAAGUUAAAGAGUUG
rfam:Lutzomyia longipalpis Contig1674, whole genome shotgun sequence.